AUUCCUUGCGGUUAGUGUCUGACUGUCAUAUUGUUACUUAAAUUGUUUUGGGGAGGGGAUCUGGCAUCGUCUCAAACCAUGGUCCGGAGUCUAAAUAAAGCUCUUUCCUACCCAUGGCUGCUUGAUCACAAAAAUGUCUUAAUCUUGAAUAUGCACACCACUCUAUUGUGACGUCAUUCAUAUUCAGUCAGUGGGAAGUUUUGUUUACAUCGCAACAAUUGACAUCAACAGGAUAUAUUUACAUUUGCCGUGUUUGUCUACAAAGCCAACUGUGAAAUUGAUUUGUGAAAACCGCACUUCAUGAAAAAUAUGCCUACAUGCAAUUCUGUGUGAUUCUCACACCAAUAAUUCACACGAAACUUGAAAACAUACCUUAAAUACAAGACAUAUUUCAUAUAAUGCGAUUGGAAUAGACACUACAAAAGCUAUAUAUUGAAUAUAUAUUUACUAGGGCUGGAUCAAUAUAUCGGUAAUCAGUAUAUAUCAAUAUUUUUUAGCAAUACGAUAACCGAUACAGAGAUGCUUGUGUAUUGCUCGAUUAUUUCAACGUUUAAUUAAGAGAAAGAAAAACGUGAAAGUGAAUAACAUUACGAACGACUUAUCUAAAAUCGGUUAAACGCAUGUAAACAUGUCAAAAGUGUAGGGUCGCUACGUAAAAGUCAGCAGCAAAAAGGCAAAAUGUAAUUAUAUUUGUCAACAAGAGGUCGCAAGUUCUGGCGGAACAACGAGCCUAUAUAUUAUUACCCAUCUCAGACGGCAUCGCAACAUUGACCUGUUUGCUACUGUGAAACUUGGAAGCAAUUCCGUCAUGUUAUGAUGCCAUCACUAUGAUCACUUGCUGGCAGAGGCCUGCAAAUGUACACAGCAGUGACAUGUACUCAGCACUUAUGGUUUUUGAGAUGUGAGGGAUUUUUUUGUGCCAACUGUGAAACGAAACCUCAAUUUAUACAGUCUCAUCAGAUCUGAAGAACCUGUUUGAGCUGUCUCCACAUCCAGGAGUGGGAUUUGAACCUGCCAUGUGUGACACAUCUGAAUUCGGAAAUUUGAUACAAAGCAUGACUAUGAUUUGCCAAAAGAGCAUCUGUUUUGAUGUGACAAGAAAUAAACAGCAUAGUGAAGUUAAGCCAAGUUUUAGUUCAUGAAGACAACUUUUAAAUUCACCGUUUAUCAUAUAUCACAAAUAUGAACAUAUCAAUUGCUCUCAGUUUUUCAAGUGAAAUAAAUUUUGUAACAGAAAUACAUGUAAUUACAUUGGAUUUGGAAUAAAUGUUAUUUCUAAAUA